UGUCACGUGGAACACAGCGGGAAUCACAGUGCACAUCCUGUGCCCCCUGGUGAGCCUGGGGUGAUCCUGGAGGGGGUUGCGACCUUGGGAGGGUCAGAGGCCAAGGCCAGGGAGAGGAGAGCAAGCCUGUGGCUCUGGGGUGCCUGGGUUAUAUAUAAUAAGUCCCUCUUUCAGGAGAGACCCUGGUGUAUCAGAGUCAAUAGUGGACCAUCCUGGGUGUUGCUGACUUUGCUCUUGUUUUUAUCAUCGGGCCUUGUGUCCUUUGCUACUCGAAGAAGAAGAAGAAGACAGCAUCAGCUGUGGGGAGCCCAGCCCUUCUUAAAAAUCCAAGGAAAAGAACCACAGGCUCAAACUAGAGAACUUGUGAAGCUACAAGUCCAGUGAUAACACAGAUGGCACCAACAGACUGUAAUGUCCCCCUUCAGCUGCGAAUCAGUCUCCUUGGUCAGCUCCCCACUCCACUGAUUCAACUAGGGGAGCUCAGAAUCUGCAGCCAGGUGACCAGGAUUCAACUCACUGCUCUGGUCUUCCUAGCACUUUCCCUCUUUUUUUUUUUUCUCACGGAUUAGAAGAAUUACAUUAAAAAAAAUUUUUUUAAUUCAGUUUUUUGUUGUUAAAGUAUAGUUUAUUUACAGUGUUGUGCCGGUCUCUGCUGUACAGCAAAGUGACUCAGUUAUACACACAGAG
rnacentral:lncRNA from 1 species